rnacentral:tRNA from 1 species
AGCAGCAUGGCUUAGUGGAAAGAGCAUGGGCUUGGGAGUCAGAGGUUGUGGGUUCUAAUCCCAGUUCUGCCA